GAUGAAGAACGCAGCGAAAUGCGAUAGGUAAUGUGAAUUGCAGAAUUCAGUGAGUCAUCGAAUCUUUGAACGCACAUUGCGCCCUGUGGUAUUCCGCAGGGCAUGCCUGUUCGAGCGUCAUUUCAACCCUCAAGCCCCGCUUGGUGUUGGGCCCCGCCCGCCGUGGCCGGCCCUAAAGACAGUGGCGGCGCCGCCUGGCCCUCAGCGUAGUACAGCUCUCGCUCCAGGGUCCGGCGGCCGCCUGCCAGAACCCCCCCAACUCUGUGGUUGACCUCGGAUCAGGUAGGGAUACCCGCUGAACUUAAGCAUAUCAAUAAGCGGAGGA
rnacentral:misc_RNA from 1 species